rnacentral:rRNA from 1 species
AAUAGAUACCCGGGUAGUCCACCCCGUAAACGUUGGGAACUAGUUGUGGGGUCCUUUCCACGGAUUCCGUGACGCAGCUAACGCAUUAAGUUCCCCGCCUGGGGAGUACGGCCGCAAGGCUAAAACUCAAAGGAAUUGACGGGGACCCGCACAAGCGGCGGAGCAUGCGGAUUAAUUCGAUGCAACGCGAAGAACCUUACCAAGGCUUGACAUACACGAGAACACCCUAGAAAUAGGGGACUCUUUGGACACUCGUGAACAGGUGGUGCAUGGUUGUCGUCAGCUCGUGUCGUGAGAUGUUGGGUUAAGUCCCGCAACGAGCGCAACCCUCGUUCUAUGUUGCCAGCACGUAAUGGUGGGAACUCAUGGGAUACUGCCGGGGUCAACUCGGAGGAAGGUGGGGAUGACGUCAAAUCAUCAUGCCCCUUAUGUCUUGGGCUUCACGCAUGCUACAAUGGCCGGUACAAAGGGCUGCAAUACCGUGAGUGGAGCGAAUCCCAAAAAGCCGGUCCCAGUUCGGAUUGAGGUCUGCAACUCGA